GAUGAACGCUGGCGGCGUGCCUAAUACAUGCAAGUCGAGCGAACAGAUGAGAAGCUUGCUUCUCUGAUGUUAGCGGCGGACGGGUGAGUAACACGUGGGUAACCUACCUAUAAGACUGGGAUAACUCCGGGAAACCGGGGCUAAUACCGGAUAAUAUUUUGAACCGCAUGGUUCAAUAGUGAAAGACGGUUUCGGCUGUCACUUAUAGAUGGACCCGCGCCGUAUUAGCUAGUUGGUAAGGUAACGGCUUACCAAGGCGACGAUACGUAGCCGGCCGGAGAGGGUGCUCGGCCACACUGGAACUGAGACACGGUCCAGACUCCUACGGGAGGCAGCAGUAGGGAAUCUUCCGCAAUGGGCGAAAGCCUGACGGAGCAACGCCGCGUGAGUGAUGAAGGUCUUCGGAUCGUAAAACUCUGUUGUUAGGGAAGAACAAAUUUGUUAGUAACUGAACAAGUCUUGACGGUACCUAACCAGAAAGCCACGGCUAACUACGUGCCAGCAGCCGCCGUAA
rnacentral:rRNA from 1 species